rnacentral:misc_RNA from 1 species
GACUACCUUCAAAAAAGUGCCACAAGGUCUAGAUUUAAUUACGCCUAUGGCACAUAAGAAUAAGUUUGCAGAGUCAACUAAUGGGUUUAAUUCAACCUAUUGUAAGGGAUUAGAAAGUGAAGAAAAAGAGUAUACUGUUACUACGGAACCGGAAGAAAUUAUAUUCGAUAAACACGUCGGAAGGAAGAUUGUGGCCAUAUCUCAAUUCACGCAAAAAAUUACUCAACUUUUGUAAACAUGGCCAUCUAGCGUAUUCAUCGAAUGAUAUAAUACUAACAGGAG